rnacentral:ncRNA from 1 species
GCCUCUGGAGAAUCCCGGUUAUCGGGUGCCGAAGGGGCAAGACGGAUGCAGAGCGCGCAUGGACACGAACCGAGCGCCGCGCCGUUGAAACUCUCAGGCAAAAGGACAGAGCU